GACGUAGGGCGCGAGCGUUGUCCGGAUUUAUUGGGCGUAAAGAGCUCGUAGGCGGCUUGUCGCGUCUGCUGUGAAAAUCCGGGGCUCAACCCCGGACUUGCAGUGGGUACGGGCAGACUAGAGUGUGGUAGGGGAGACUGGAAUUCCUGGUGUAGCGGUGGAAUGCGCAGAUAUCAGGAGGAACACCGAUGGCGAAGGCAGGUCUCUGGGCCACUACUGACGCUGAGAAGCGAAAGCAUGGGGAGCGAACAGG
rnacentral:rRNA from 1 species